rnacentral:misc_RNA from 1 species
GAUGAAGAACGUAGCGAAAUGCGAUAAGUAAUGCGAAUUGCAGAAUACAGUGAAUCAUCGAAUCUUUGAACGCACAUUGCGCCCGCCAGUAUUCUGGCGGGCAUGCCUGUCUGAGCGUCGUUUCGACCCUCGCGCCCGGCUUCUGUCGGGGGCGGUGUUGGGGAUCGGCCACACCCUUCAGUGGGAGGCCGGCCCCUAAAUUCAGUGGCGACCACGCUGUAGCCUCCCCUGCGUAGUACUAAAACCACCUCGCAGGCGGAGAGCGGUGCGGCCCGCCGUAAAACCCCCCAACUUUUACAAGGUCGACCUCAGAUCAGGUAGGAAUACCCGCUGAACUUAAGCAUAUCAAUAAGCGGAGGA